UACGUAGGGUGCAAGCGUUGUCCGGAAUUAUUGGGCGUAAAGAGCUCGUAGGCGGUUUGUUGCGUCGGCUGUGAAAUCCCGAGGCUCAACUUCGGGUCUGCAGUCGAUACGAGCAAACUAGAGUGUUGCAGGGGAGACUGGAAUUCCUGGUGUAGCGGUGAAAUGCGCAGAUAUCAGGAGGAACACCGGUGGCGAAGGCGGGUCUCUGGGCAACAACUGACGCUGGAGGAGCGAAAGCGUCGGGGAGCGAACAGG
rnacentral:rRNA from 1 species